rnacentral:misc_RNA from 1 species
GUUGUGGGUACUGCCCGAAUCUACCAAAACAAGCAAUGGAUGGUCAUUUAUUGCCGCCCUCAAUUGCAUGGUUUUUAUAUUUUGCUUCCCAGUCAUAGCAUGUAAGGAUAAUUUUAGGUUCCUCGGAUGCAAGUUGAUCUUGCUCGACUAUAGUUCUGUCAUGAUCCUUUAUCUCCAACCAGAAUAAUUUCUUACAUUGAUGUCCAAAUGAGUAUAGUUCAUCAUAAUUAUAGCAUAGUCCUUUUGCUUGCCUUUUUGCCAUCUCUGCCCAACUGAGUUUCUUAACAAAAGGAGAGGACAUG